GUUAUUUUUUUAUUUCAGUAAAAGGCCUCCAAAUGGUCCACCAAAUGUCCAAGCUUUUCCCAGACACUGGGACAAGACCCAGGUUCCUGAUAUUGGAUACAAGAAAGUACUGCUGCAAGAUUCGUCCGAAGAAUACAAGGAGGUGGAGACGCUGUUUCGUCAGACGAUGACCGCCUUUGACAUCGUGAAGAUCGAGAGAAUUCAGAACAAGUGUCUCUGGGACCAAUUUCAGUUGCAAAGGGAACAAAUGAAGAAAAGGAAUGGGGGCCGUAGUGUGGCCGAGAGGAAGCUGUUCCACGGCACAGACUCCAAGUUCAUCAACGCCAUCUGCUGUUCGAACUUUGACUGGCGGAUCU